GACGAACGCUGGCGGCGUGCUUAACACAUGCAAGUCGAACGGAAAGGCCCUGCUUUUGUGGGGUGCUCGAGUGGCGAACGGGUGAGUAACACGUGAGUAACCUGCCCUUGACUUUGGGAUAACUUCAGGAAACUGGGGCUAAUAACGGAUAGGAGCUCCUGCUGCAUGGUGGGGGUUGGAAAGUUUCGGCGGUUGGGGAUGGACUCGCGGCUUAUCAGCUUGUUGGUGGGGUAGUGGCUUACCAAGGCUUUGACGGGUAGCCGGCCUGAGAGGGUGACCGGCCACAUUGGGACUGAGAUACGGCCCAGACUCCUACGGGAGGCAGCAGUGGGGAAUAUUGCACAAUGGGCGGAAGCCUGAUGCAGCAACGCCGCGUGCGGGAUGACGGCCUUCGGGUUGUAAACCGCUUUCGCCUGUGACGAAGCGUGAGUGACGGUAAUGGGUAAAGAAGCACCGGCUAACUACGUG
rnacentral:rRNA from 1 species